rnacentral:rRNA from 1 species
GACGAACGCUGGCGGCGUGCCUAAUACAUGCAAGUAGAACGCACAGUUUAUACCGUAGCUUGCUACACCAUAGACUGUGAGUUGCGAACGGGUGAGUAACGCGUAGGUAACCUGCCUGGUAGCGGGGGAUAACUAUUGGAAACGAUAGCUAAUACCGCAUAAUAUUGAUUAUUGCAUGAUAAUUGAUUGAAAGAUGCUAUUGCAUCACUACCAGAUGGACCUGCGUUGUAUUAGCUAGUAGGUGAGGUAACGGCUCACCUAGGCGACGAUACAUAGCCGACCUGGGAGGGUGAUCGGCCACACUGGGACUGAGACACGGCCCAGACUCCUACGGGAGGCAGCAGUAGGGAAUCUUCGGCAAUGGACGAAAGUCUGACCGAGCAACGCCGCGUGAGUGAAGAAGGUUUUCGGAUCGUAAAGCUCUGUUGUAAGAGAAGAACGGGUGUGAGAGUGGAAAGUUCACACUGUGACGGUAUCUUACCAGAAAGGGACGGCUAACUACG